UACGAAGGGUGCAAGCGUUACUCGGAAUUACUGGGCGUAAAGCGUGCGUAGGUGGUUCGUUAAGUCUGUCGUGAAAGCCCCGGGCUCAACCUGGGAAUGGCGAUGGAUACUGGCGGGCUAGAGUGCGGUAGAGGAGAGUGGAAUUCCCGGUGUAGCAGUGAAGUGCGUAGAGAUCGGGAGGAACAUCAGUUGCGAAGGCGGCUCUCUGGACCAGCACUGACACUGAGGCACGAAAGCGUGGGGAGCAAACAGG
rnacentral:rRNA from 1 species